rnacentral:rRNA from 1 species
GAUGAACGCUGGCGGCGUGCCUAAUACAUGCAAGUCGAGCGAACGGACGAGAAGCUUGCUUCUCUGAUGUUAGCGGCGGACGGGUGAGUAACACGUGGAUAACCUACCUAUAAGACUGGGAUAACUUCGGGAAACCGGAGCUAAUACCGGAUAAUAUUUUGAACCGCAUGGUUCAAAAGUGAAAGACGGUCUUGCUGUCACUUAUAGAUGGAUCCGCGCUGCAUUAGCUAGUUGGUAAGGUAACGGCUUACCAAGGCAACGAUGCAUAGCCGACCUGAGAGGGUGAACCGCCACACCGGAACUGGGACACGGUCCAGGACUCUACGGGAGGCAGCAGUAGGGAAUUUUUCCGCAUUGGGGAAAACCUGGAGGAGGCACGGCGGGGGAGGUAUGAAGGUCCUCGGAUCGUAAAACCCUUUUAUUAGGGAAGAAAAUAUGUGUAAGUAACUGUUCACCACUUGACGGUACCCAAUCAAGAAGCCACGGCUAACUACGUG